rnacentral:tRNA from 1 species
GGAGCGGUACUCAAGAGGCUGAAGAGGACGGUUUGCUAAAUCGUUAGACGGUUUACCCCGUGCGUGGGUUCGAAUCCCACCCGCUCCG